UCAGGUGAUUCGGGUUGGGGUUGGGGCAUUGCAAUGGGUUCAAAAGAGGGGUCAGUAGCUAGGGUUCCAGGCCUAUCGUCCUCGGCGACGAGAAGGAAGAACCGUGAGGAACACUUAUGGCCUCUGGAGAACUUCUCGUCGUAGUUAAAACACAAGCCUUUUUCACGCCUAAGGGUGAUUUCCUUGGGGGACAGACGAUGCACCACGGGUGGGGG
rnacentral:lncRNA from 1 species